CAUUUUUAUUUCUCCUCCUAGACUGGGGGACUCUCAAGGACAAGAAGUGUGUCACACCCAUCUUCUAUCUUUGCCACAGAGCAGAGUGUGCCACAGAGCAGAGCGUCUGACACAUGAACAAGAAAGAACCACAUGCUGCCAUUGAUCCACUGUAGACUGUCAUGGCGGAGGAAGUACUUGGGAGACUCAGCACGUUCUAAGAGAAAAUGUGAAGGGCAUAUAUGAGAUUCUGAGUGUUUAUUGCUGGGCAUUAAAGUUACAAAUUAUGAUGACACGAAAUCAGAAGGGACAAGUCAUCUGCCUGUGUGCCUGAUAAGAUGAAUACUUAUGCUGAAAUAUCCUGGCAUUCAGUGAAGAUUCGUUUGUCUACAUGACCUCCUGGCCAUUUGGAUUCUAUAUAUUUAAUAGGGUUAAGCUCUCUCCUGCUCCCUACACUAUCACACCAAAAUUUUCAAAAACACUUUCUUUUUUUUAUUAACCUGAUAAAAAUUAGGACUUUGGGGGCAUCUGGUGGCUUAGGUGGUUAAGUGUCUGCCUUCAGCUCAAGUCAUGAUCUGGUCCGGGACAGAGCCCAGAAUCAGAAUCCUCGGUCAGUGGGAAGUCUGCUUCUCCCUCUGCUUCUCAGCUACCCCCCGCCCCUUCCACA